rnacentral:rRNA from 1 species
CAGCAGCCACGGUAAUACGAAGGGUGCAAGCGUUAAUCGGAAUUACCGGGCGUAAAGCGUGCGUAGGCGGUGAGUUAAGUCUGCUGUGAAAUCCCCGGGCUCAACCCGGGAAUGGCAGUGGAUACUGGCUCGCUAGAGUGUGUCAGAGGAUGGUGGAAUUCCCGGUGUAGCGGUGAAAUGCGUAGAGAUCGGGAGGAACAUCAGUGGCGAAGGCGGCCAUCUGGGACAACACUGACGCUGAAGCACGAAAGCGUGGGGAGCAAACAGGAUUAGAUACCCGUGUAGUCCCUGUCUCUUAUAA